rnacentral:rRNA from 1 species
GACGAACGCUGGCGGCGUGCCUAAUACAUGCAAGUCGAGCGAAUGGAAGGGAGCUUGCUCCCUGAAGUUAGCGGCGGACGGGUGAGUAACACGUGGGCAACCUGCCUGUAAGACUGGGAUAACUUCGGGAAACCGGAGCUAAUACCGGAUACGUUCUUUCCUCGCAUGAGGAAAGAUGGAAAGAUGGUUCCGGCUAUCACUUACAGAUGGGCCCGCGGCGCAUUAGCUAGUUGGUGGGGUAAUGGCCCAACAAGGCGACGAUGCGUAGCCGACCUGAGAGGGUGAUCGGCCACACUGGGACUGAGACACGGCCCAGACUCCUACGGGAGGCAGCAGUAGGGAAUCUUCCGCAAUGGACGAAAGUCUGACGGAGCAACGCCGCGUGAGCGAAGAAGGCCUUCGGGUCGUAAAGCUCUGUUGUCAGGGAAGAACAAGUGCCAGAGUAACUGCUGGCACCUUGACGGUACCUGACCAGAAAGCCACGGCUAACUACGUGCCAGCAGCCGCCGUAC